UUGACCUCGAAUCAGGUAGGACUACCCGCUGAACUUAAGCAUAUCAAUAAGCGGAGGAAAAGAAACCAACAGGGAUUGCCCUAGUAACGGCGAGUGAAGCGGCAACAGCUCAAAUUUGAAAUCUGGCCCUCGGGUCCGAGUUGUAAUUUGUAGAGGAUGCUUUUGGUGCGGUGCCUUCCGAGUUCCCUGGAACGGGACGCCAUAGAGGGUGAGAGCCCCGUCUGGUUGGACACCAAUCCUCUGUAAAGCUCCUUCGACGAGUCGAGUAGUUUGGGAAAUGCUGCUCUAAAUGGGAGGUAUAUGUCUUCUAAAGCUAAAUACCGGG
rnacentral:rRNA from 1 species